CAGUGGGGAAUCUUAGACAAUGGGCGCAAGCCUGAUCUAGCCAUGCCGCGUGUGUGAUGAAGGUCUUAGGAUCGUAAAGCACUUUCGCCAGGGAUGAUAAUGACAGUACCUGGUAAAGAAACCCCGGCUAACUCCGUGCCAGCAGCCGCGGUAAUACGGAGGGGGUUAGCGUUGUUCGGAAUUACUGGGCGUAAAGCGUACGUAGGCGGAUCAGAAAGUUAGGGGUGAAAUCCCGAGGCUCAACCUCGGAACUGCCUCUAAAACUCCUGGUCUUGAGUUCGAGAGAGGUGAGUGGAAUUCCAAGUGUAGAGGUGAAAUUCGUAGAUAUUUGGAGGAACACCAGUGGCGAAGGCGGCUCACUGGCUCGAUACUGACGCUGAGGUACGAAAGUGUGGGGAGCAAACAGGAUUAGAUACCCUGGUAGUCCACACCGUAAACGAUGAAUGCCAGUCGUCGGGCAGUAUACUGUUCGGUGACACACCUAACGGAUUAAGCAUUCCGCCUGGGGAGUACGGUCGCAAGAUUAAACUCAG
rnacentral:rRNA from 1 species